UACAGAGGGGGCGAGCGUUGUUCGGAAUUACUGGGCGUAAAGGGCGCGUAGGCGGUUUCGUAAGUCGGAUGUGAAAACUCCAGGCUCAACUUGGAGACGCCAUUCGAUACUGCGAUGACUUGAGUCCGGUAGGGGAGUGUGGAAUUCCUGGUGUAGCGGUGAAAUGCGCAGAUAUCAGGAGGAACACCGGUGGCGAAGGCGGGUCUCUGGGCCGAUACUGACGCUGAGGAGCGAAAGCGUGGGGAGCGAACAGG
rnacentral:rRNA from 1 species